rnacentral:tmRNA from 1 species
UAUCUUGAUUUUUUCUCAAAAUAUAAUUAUACUACUUAAAGUUUUUGUACGCAAAAACUCUAAUACGAAAAGCCGUAUGAAAUAGGUAUAUUGGACCCGGGGGCAGUACCCGGCGCCUCCACCAAAAUUAUUUACGGGGGCGAGAUAGGUUUGACAAUGUAUAGUAAAGAUACUUGUGCUGUAUUCGGUGAGAUACCACCGUUAUCGGUUCAAAACAAAUAAACGCAAAUGAUAAUUUUGCACCAGUUGCUGUAGCUGCUUAAGGCAAAGCAACAAAUUCAAUUCUUUAGACUUUGGUUAGCCUAAAGUGGGGGAUGAGCCACCCAGCAACAGAACGGCUCGUUU